rnacentral:misc_RNA from 1 species
CUCCGAAUGCAUUUGCCCACUCGCUAUCCUGAUCCUGCUACACAAAGUCUCUCGGGUUUCACAUAUACAUCACGUUGAACACACGCAUGACACUUCGCGGACAUUGAUGAUAGAAACCUGGUGCACGUCGCAAAGCAAAUUUCCCUUCUCCAAGGCCUGCCCGAUGGUCUGCCGAUCUUUUAAGAUCCCCUACCUGUGCCAAAGCCGUGAAAAUAAAGCCAAGCCCUCGCCCUUAUCAGUUAGCCAAUGGAACCGAGCCGUUAUUUGGAUUGCAUUUUCACCAUUGGCCAGCUUCCGUGGAACACGUGGGGGUGAAAUGAAAACGAAGAGUGGGGAGUUGGCUGUGCGCCAAUCUAUGGGGCAAAGAGGAGGAGGGAGGGACUUCUAAUUCACUCGCACACCAAUCCAUUCGUAUCGUUAUUCAGGGACAAAACUAAAAAUUUUGGGCAUCUGCUGGGGAAGCUCAAAUCUCACACUCAAUUUACACCAACUUAGUCGUUUGCACAUGCACCUAAUUCUAACGAAUUUUCUUUUUCAUUCAAUCUUGACAUAUAUUGUCGUCGGGCGUAAUAUUUUUAAUAUUGUGAAUUAUCACUGAAUAUCAGGGUCUAAUAUUUAAGCGAAUUUUCAAUAUUUUUUCAUCGAGAAGAUACAAUUAUAUUUUGAUUCAAGAGCAUCAUUUGAUUUUAAUAAAUGAGAAAGGCAAGCCUUGCUCCGAGGGGAGCGGGAAGGGGCAGAAAUUAGCAAGGGUAGCUACGAGACUGGGAUUAAAUAAACGUACACGCGGAACCCAAAUAGCAGGAGCACUAAUAGAAAAACGAAAAACUAAUCGCUCUCCAUGAGAAGUCCUUUUUUUCGUGGAAAUACUAUAGCGUCAAACGAAUACGCCCCACUGUACAACUGAGAAGCGAAAGAGAGCUGACAAUCGGCCAAAGCGAGGUGGAAGAAACAGAUGAAGAAAUGAGGUGAUCUACCUACACCGGAAAAUGGCCGCGGUACGAGAAAAACUGCGUCGCAUCUACAACG